GUUGAAUGGGUUUGAACUUGGGCAUGGGACACGGAUAAUGACCAGAAACCUCCUUUAUAUGGUUCUCUCAUCCUUUGUGCUCAAGGUAGGCUGCAUUGUGUAGUCUCUGAAACCCUUUGUGUGCCUUUCCAGGGCUGAGGGGAACCCAUAUGGAGAAUGCGUAUGACUUCUACAAACCAAAUUUGGCCUCGGAGUACCCAAUAGUGGAUGGGAAGCUUUCCAUCCAGUGCUACUUGCGGGCCUUGGAUCGAUGUUACACAUCAUACCGUAAAAAAAUCCAGAAUCAAUGGAAGCAAGCUGGCAGUGAUCGACCCUUCACCCUUGACGAUUUACAGUACAUGAUCUUUCAUACACCCUUUUGCAAGAUGGUCCAGAAGUCUCUGGCUCGCCUGAUGUUCAAUGACUUCGUGUCAGCCAGCAGUGACACACAAACCAGCUUAUAUAAGGGGCUGGAGGCUUUCGGGGGGCUAAAGCUGGAAGACACCUACACCAACAAGGACCUCGAUAAAGCCCUUCUAAAGGCCUCUCAGGACAUGUUCGACAAGAAAACCAAGGCCUCCCUUUACCUCUCCACUCACAAUGGGAACAUGUACACCUCAUCCCUGUACGGGUGCCUGGCCUCGCUUCUGUCCCA
rnacentral:sRNA from 1 species